AUGUUAGCUUCUGAAUUAGAUGCAGAAUAUCCUCAACGUGAAGAGUGCUCGAGAUACCACAUCCGCUUGGCAAGAAAGAGCCUAUUUUUUCCCGUGGACCAGAAGUCUUAUUACCUCCUAGCAGAAGGCUCCAGGUGCAUUGGCAUGUGCUUGAACUUAGGCCUACCUGGAAGAAGGAAGCAGCUCUUUCAUUCUGGGUGCACCAGUCUCAGCUUAAAGGUCACUUUCUCCAGGAUGCCUUCUCUGAACCUCCUCCUCACCACCUGUAAGACGGGAUACAGUUGUCACACACUCUUGUCUCACUCUGCACUUCUCCUUGGAAACCUUCUCUGAAGGCAGGUCCAGGUCCAAUUCAUUUCCUGGUGUUUUUUUCAGUAUCAAGAACAGCUCCAGGCUCAAACUAGCAUCUAAUGUACCUUUGCCCAAUGAACAAAGAAACAGAUAAGCGAGGAGGUGGGAGCUAAAAAAGAAACAGGUGCGGAUUUCAUUGAAACACUACAUAAUAUUGAGCCAUGCCCAACAUGGACUGCUGUGAAAUGGGCUGUUUCACAAGCGCUGGCCACACAGAGUGGGGACACAAAUCUCACUCUUGCCUUCAGGUCCCAUGAAUUUCCAUGAUGACAUCAAUGCUUCCUCAAACCUGCGGCUUCCUCCUGCAUUCCUUUUCCUUCUCUCUGGAUCUUCCUCCACUAAGAGAGAGCUGAAAUGUUCUCUAAAGAGGAAUAUAACGGAGGAGUUUCUGCUACAGUGCAGCGGGAUUGGUGGCAUCUCUGCAGUGCCAGGAUGCAGGUUUGAUCCCCGGUCCAGCAUAGUGAGUUAAAAGAUUCAGCGUUACUGCGGCAGCUGCAGCUCGGAUCUAACCCCUUGCCUGGGAACUCCAUAUGCUGCGGGGCAGCCAAAAAGGAAAAAAAGAAAAAGAGGAAUAUAAUGGAGUACAAUUGAUUUUUCCACCUGCUAUGAAAACAAAUACAAGUCAGAAUAUCUAGGAGAUAGCCAGAAGAAUAGAUUUUUGGCUCCUUUCAAACUCUCAAGUAUUUAUUUCCUUAAUAACACUUACUAUUUAUUGAGCACUUAUCAAGCACCAGAUACUGCAUUAUAAACAUGGCAUAUAAAUCACCAGUCCUCAAAAACCCAGCUCUCCUGGGUGGAAGUUGUUAUCUUGCAAACGUGAAAAUGCCUUCAUUUUCCCCAGCCAUCUUGGAAUUCAGAGCUAAUGCCCAACUUUUAAAGGAGCUGAUCUAGGCACAUAACCUGCUUGGUGGAGGCAUUCUAUCAUAGAAUCAGUACACUGACCUCAGACAGUGAAGCUGAGUAUCUUCUGACACCAUCAUUGCCUCUCAGAUGAUUCUGAUAAACAGCCUGAAAUACCGAUGUGACACCAAUAUGCUUGACUUAGUCCCACGACCACAAAACACCCAGCAAGCUCCAGCAAGCAAAGGUAAGGCUUUAAUUUUAUUACCCAGGUUUUUUUUCUAAAAGAUAAGUGACAUUCAGAAGUACCUCCUAAAUCAUUGGGGAGAGAUCCAAUUAUGUUUGCUGUCAUUAGUGUUAACUGUACUUUGAGGAAUGCUAAUUUUAAAAAAAUUGGUUACCUGAAUAUGCUAAAAAAAAUUUCUCCCUAAUUGAGCAAGCAGUAGUUUCCUGAACAUUUCAGUGUUGGGAAAUUCAAGCCCUGAAGCUUAGGAUUUUCUCUGAGAAAUUGGGUUAUGUUGCAUAAGGUCACAAGUGAAAGUGUGAGAGUCCUGAUAAAUUUUCUUUUACAUAAAGUAAAGCAAAGGUGGCAUCUAAAUAAGGAAACCAUCAAAGACAGGUUAUGCAUAUUAAAUUGUUGAUAACAGGUCUUGUGUAACUAAUCUUCAUGCUUCAUCCUUGGCUCCCCAGAUGUGUGCGCCUAUGGCUGCAAACUUCCAUGUAAUUGGUCUGAAUGGUGGGCAUGAGUAUUUUUUUUUUAAAGAAAAUCCAGUCUCAGGGUAGAGGCACAUUGAAGUCGCGGGUGAGGCCUGGGUCUCAGGGUCCCUUUGAUUGGAGUCACCAGAAACCCACUCCAGUGAGCUCAAGUGCAAUUGAGGCUUUGCUAUGAGAUAUAGAAACAUGGGAAUCCAGAGAAAGCAGAACAGUGGGUCUCAGGAAAGGCAGAAGACUUGGAACUAACAGAAUGCUUGUUGCAAACACUCUCCUCCAGUUGCUUGUUAUAUGACCUCAGGUGAGUGACUUCACUUCUCUGUGUCUCAGUGUCAACAGGGGAGAAGCUAUUGUAUGUACAUCUCUGUCAAGUAUUAAAUGGGUUAAUGACUAUGCCAUACUUAGCACCUACUGUCUGUUCAAUACAUGGUAGCUGUUAUUAUUGUUAUAUUUUUCUACAUUACUUUUGUGCAACUGUUCCAUCUUCCUGUUAUUUCCUCAUGGCUUCCACCUGCACAGUAGCUUGCAAGUCAACAUGACCGUCUAAAUUCUAGUGCCUGUAACUCUCUAAAGACUGUCCUCUCCUCUGAGUUCAAGUUGCUAAGAGGGAAAAUCUGACUCAAUUCAUCCAAAUCAAAGGCCCCUUCCAGCCCAUGGCUGGGUUCUCCCUCUGGGUCAGAGAUCCUCCCUGCUCCCCAUGUCAGGGGUUGGAGUCCACCUAGCAGAGCUGUGGUGAGGACCCUUGCAUUAGGGAGCAUAGAUGAGGAGGCAGAAGCUUGUCUAGAAACACCGGUGAGAUCACUGCUGGUUAGGAAGGAAGAGAAGCCCUGUAAUGGGCUGUGUGAUCAGGAUUAUGUUUGGGGCAGUGGUUACCAGUAUAAAGCCGAUGGAGGAAUCAGGGAUGAACCAUCAUAGUGGUUAUAACUUAAUUAAAAAUGGGAGGAGUUCCAAUUUUGGCUCAGUGGGUUAAUAAGCUGACAUAGAGUAGUCCAUGAGGAUGCAGGUUUGAUCCCUGGCCUCGCUCAGUGUAUUAUGGAUCUGGCAUUGCCACAAGAUGUGGUGUAGGUCGCAGACAUGACUUGGAUCCCUUGUUGCUGCAGCUCUGAUUCAGCCCCUAGCCUGGGAACUUCCAUAUGCCACAGGCGUGGCUCUAAAAAGAAAAAAAAAAAAAGGAAUAGGAAAAAAAUGUGUAUCCCUUCAAAGGGAGAGAAGGCAAGAGAGAAUUGGAUGAACCUGGGUGAAGCAUACAUGCAUGUUCAAUAAACUAAUUUUCAUUUUACCA
rnacentral:lncRNA from 1 species